UACGAAGGGGUGCAAGCGUUAAUCGGAAUUACUGGGCGUAAAGGGUGCGUAGGCGGUUCGUUAAGUCUGUCGUGAAAUCCCCGGGCUCAACCUGGGAAUGGCGAUGGAUACUGGCGAGCUAGAGUGUGUCAGAGGAUGGUGGAAUUCCCGGUGUAGCGGUGAAAUGCGUAGAGAUCGGGAGGAACAUCAGUGGCGAAGGCGGCCAUCUGGGACAACACUGACGCUGAAGCACGAAAGCGUGGGGAGCAAACAGG
rnacentral:rRNA from 1 species